AAGAUAAUAUGGGGAUAAUUCUUUUGUGUUAAAAUUGUUGGUUUUAGGAGAGAAUUAUGUUAUCAGUAGAAUAUCGAAAUCUCUUGGCACAAAGGCUGAAUGUAAUUGGCGCAACGUUGGCGCAACGCUGGCGUCACAGCCUUUAAUAUGCAGUUUGGCCAACCACAUUACAUUGUUAGUUGGCUAAAAUGUAUAAAAUUGUAUAAAAUUAUACUAAAAUGACAACCAGU